AGCUCCAAUAGUGUAUGCUAAAGUUGUUGCAGUUAAAAAGCUCGUAGUUGGAUUUCUGGUGUGGUGCGCCUGGCCCGGGCUCAAGUAGCUUGUGUGCCGGCGUGCACCGACCAUCCUUCAGGAGAACAGCUCUGCCAUUAAUUUGGUUGGGGUUGGGAUCCUGAUCGUUUACUUUGAGAAAAUUAGAGUGUUUAAGGCAGGCUUAUGCCGUGAAUAGUACAGCAUGGAAUAAUAAGAUAGGACUUCGUGUGCUAUUUUGUUGGUUUCUAGCUGCGCGAAGUAAUGAUUGAUAGGGAUCGUUGGGGGUGCUAGUAUUAAACGGCCAGAGGUGAAAUUCUUGGAUUCGUUUAAGACUAACUUCUGCGAAAGCAUUCGCCAAGGAGGUCUUCU
rnacentral:rRNA from 1 species